rnacentral:lncRNA from 1 species
AUUUUUUAAUUGUAGCCUGAGAAAACAAUGAAAGGGAGAGAAAAAUAUUAGAAACAUAUUCACCCAAGAUGCUUCCAUGGUUUAUGGCUAAUAUGUAUCCUGCUAGAAAAUUUACACCAGGCUGUCAUACAUCGCCAUCAAAUGGAGAAGAAUUCUGGGAAGCUCACCUAAGUAUCAUACUGCAGGAGAUUCUGAUUAGCACAUACUAACUUUCCGAAUGACUCACGCAAUGUGGGAUGAACUGAAGUGGGCAUGCUCCUCAGUACAGUCUUAAAACUCAAAAAACCUGCUUCUGACCAAACCUGAAAGGGGAUUUUAAACAUGGAAGAAGGAACAUAUCAACAACAGCCCACCUGCACAGCUGCUUGUACUAAGGAACUUCACUAAAACCCAUUUUCUCAGAGUAGUCUCCCUGCAUUCCCUGUGUGUUUAGGAGUCUAAAGUCUCUCCCCAAAGAAACGCAUAAAGUAUUCUGUUCAUGUCACCAAGAAAGUCAUCAAUUCUUCUCUCAGGGCUUCAUAUCUAAGCCUGCCCUAAGCUGAUCAACAUAUAAUACUGAUAAAAGAGUGUUUUAAACCUGAAUAAGUUUAAGAAUGAAUUAUUGAACCAUCAACAGAUUUCUUCACCUUCCUAUUGUAAGACUCUAUUUUCUUCCUGAUCCCAAAAUAAAAAAAAAAAAAAAUGUGAAUGAAGUUUACAUUCAAGAGAUGUAGGACAGAAUUUCAACUUCUCUUGUACAUUUUGUGGCCAUUCAAAUCAAGUAACACUUAUUCUGGGCACCUGUGGAAAAUAUCUGGAAACCUUUUCCUUCUUGUCCUAUUAAAUGAUGGAAGG